rnacentral:rRNA from 1 species
GCUAAACGCGAAGAACCUUACCCACCUUUGACAUGUACGGAAAUUGCCAGAGAUGGCUUCGUGCUCGAAAGAGAGCCGUAACACAGGUGCUGCAUGGCUGUCGUCAGCUCGUGUCGUGAGAUGUUGGGUUAAGUCCCGCAACGAGCGCAACCCUUGUCCUUAGUUGCCAUCAUUUAGUUGGGAACUCUAAGGAGACCGCCGGUGACAAACCGGAGGAAGGUGGGGAUGACGUCAAGUCAUCAUGGCCUUUAUGACCAGGGCUACACACGUGCUACAAUGGCAGGUACAGAGGGAAGCCAACCAGCAAUGGGGAGCCAAUCCCAGAAAGCCUGUCUUAGUCCGGAUUGGAGUCUGCAACUCGACUCCAUGAAGCUGGAAUCGCUAGUAAUCGUGGAUCAGAAUGUCACGGUGAAUACGUUCCCGGGUCUUGUACACACCG